ACUUGGUUUUCUAUUUUUAGAUUACACACAGGGGGACUCAAUUUACUUAUUAGUUGACUUCUGAAGGCAAUUGGUUGCACUGGAUUUUAUUUAGGGGGAGCUGAAUACUUUAGCACACCACACUUGUCAGUUUUUUAUUUGUAAAAAAAAAGUUUGAAAACCAUGUAUCAUUUUCCUUACACUUCACAAUUAUGCGCCACCCACUUUGUGUUGGUCUAUAACAUAAAAUCCCAAUUAAAUACAUUUAAGUUUGUGGUUGUAACGUGACAAAAUGUGGAAAAGUUCAAGGGGUAUGAAUACUUUUGCAAGCCACUGUAAAGAUGUGGUUCUUCUUUUUAGGCUUUGGUAGAGAAACCAUCCAGUGGUGACGAGAAGACGUACCACUAUCUCCUCCCACAGAAAUACGAGGGAAAAUACGUACACCCAUUUUUCUGCCGUACGUUUGAUAAGUGAGGGCCAAUAUGUGUUGUGUUUUUGUCAACAGGGAAUGUGUUUCUACUCAUGUAAAGAUGGGUUUUUCCACAUUUCAAACUUUGCCUUAUUGUUGACCAAAUGAAACAUUAUUUUUUUCUUUUUGUCAUCACAGCCAUAGAAAAAAUGGAUGUAGGAUCUUUGAAAGAAGUUAGUCGAGACCCUCUUCUGUUAAGGUUAUUUUUUAUUUUCUGAUAAGCAGAACUUUAAUCCCACCUCUCUACACACUCAGCUCCAGUCUCAAAUCAAGAGAGACUUCUGCUCGACCAAUGAUUACCACAUCAAGGGCUGCAGUACAGUGGUGAUGUUCAGUCUGGGCCUUGAAAACACUUGAAGGAAAGAUCUCGCGCGAGAGUUCUCCCUCGCCCCCGGUCUCGGGUGCGUGAGAGACAGGGCAGCUUCGGGAGAAAUCUUUUGAUUAUAAUAUUCUUCCACAACAUCAUCUGCAUCAUCAUUAUUAUCACCACCAUCUUCAUCACUGCCAGCAACAACAAAUUUGCAGUAUUAUUAUAAUGCCAUUGGAGACAGCGGGGUGUGCCACAGAAACACACACCUGGAUUGAGCCCCAAUGAAAAAGACUGGGCUUAGACAUUUCAAAUGUUUGUUUUAUUUCAUGUGCACACUUUAUUAAUUAACUUGUUAAUUGCAUUAGUAAAUUGUAUAUUGUAAUCUUGACGUGCAAUAUUUGUGUUCCUUACAUACAAAGUUUGAAAAUGUAUUCCUGUGUGCAUCUCUUGACUGAUAUUCAGACCUUGGGCUCAAGGUGUCCUAGUCUUCUGAUGUUUGUCCACCUUCAACACUUUAUUUACAGUAACAUGGGUUAAAAA